AUGGGCGAGGACAUCACCGGAGCUGCAAGCUACAACCGGCAUCACAAAUUGCUACAACCGGCGUCCUUGUUCGCUACAUGCUAUCAUGAAGAUACAUCCCGUGGAACAAAAAUCUACAACUGGCAAAAGAAAAAUCUACAACUCGCUGACCAUUUUGCUGCAAGCGGCGAAGGUGAAGAUGCGGACAACGAAGGUGAGCAUCGGGGCUGCGACGAUGGGCCGUGGCCUGUGGAAGCUGCAAACUCAUGCGCCAAUGCUGCAACCGCCCUAGAAAAAGCUACAACCAGUGGCCAGUUUUUGUUGCAUCGGCGACGGUGA
rnacentral:rRNA from 1 species